CCUACGGGAGGCAGCAGUGGGGAAUAUUGGACAAUGGGCGAAAGCCUGAUCCAGCCAUGCCGCGUGUGUGAAGAAGGCCUUCGGGUUGUAAAGCACUUUCAGUGGGGAAGAAAGCCUUGGGGCUAAUACCCUCGGGGAAGGACAUCACCCACAGAAGAAGCACCGGCUAACUCCGUGCCAGCAGCCGCGGUAAUACGGAGGGUGCGAGCGUUAAUCGGAAUUACUGGGCGUAAAGCGCGCGUAGGCGGUCUGAUAAGCCGGUUGUGAAAGCCCCGGGCUCAACCUGGGAACGGCAUCCGGAACUGUCAGGCUAGAGUGCAGGAGAGGAAGGUAGAAUUCCCGGUGUAGCGGUGAAAUGCGUAGAGAUCGGGAGGAAUACCAGUGGCGAAGGCGGCCUUCUGGACUGACACUGACGCUGAGGUGCGAAAGCGUGGGUAGCAAACAGGAUUAGAUACCCUGGUAGUC
rnacentral:rRNA from 1 species